rnacentral:misc_RNA from 1 species
AUAAGGAUAGGGUUCAACGAGAUUAGUUUGAGCCGCGACUACUGGUCCAAUUCACAUCCAUCAUUUACUAUAUAUAUAUAUAUAACGCACUUACGCACAACUCUAAAUUAUUCCCAAGGCGGCAAAUACAAAUAAUUAUCUAUAAAUAAAUAUGUAACAAUAAGAGUGCUUCUAAUUUAUUUAACUGAGCAUGAAACUAUAUUUAUAAAAUGCAUGAGCAUGCCAAAUAUAUAUAAAUAAUAUUGAAAUUACAAAAUAUAAUAAAUAUUCAACUCACAGACUGAUCGACCUGAUUACAGCCGAUUCGGCUAGAAGGGAGAAGACUGGCUAGCACUGAACACCUCUACAGAUACACUGACCUCUAUCAAUUUACUAACAGAAUUAACUAAUUAAUUUAAUUUACAGAAGCAAAAAUAAGUCCUAAGGUCUUGCCGAAAUUUUGGCAGAGUCUUCCCUAUAACUUGACCUAACUCCCUGCAAGAAAACUCAAUAAAAAGCAACACAUAAAGCAUCAGGCCCACAACAACUACGUCACAUGUCUAUCCAAAGCCUAUGAGAACCUAAUCUAAGUCUAGAUUUCUAAUAUCCAGCUUGAGUCUUUAACUCCUCUACAGUUCAAUUAAAACUAUAAUCUCUAAAGCUUCUCCUAAAAUAUCAUGAUAUAAUUAUAAUCAGGUUUAUCCAUAGAAUUUCAAUUCCAUAUUAAAUUUAUAAUGAAAAUUCAACAAUAUUCCCUCUUAAAAUUAGACUAAACUCUCUAUCAUAAAACUUAAAUCCACGAUUGAACAACUAUAUCAACUUAUACAAAUUCCCAACUUAUGCAUACAUAUAAAUAUUAAUUCCAACACUUCAUAUCCAAAUAUCAAUUAAAAUAUUCCACAAUAUAUCUAUAUUACCAAAAAUCCAACUAAACAUUUAUAUUUAUUUCCCAAAAAUAUUCCACAAUCAUUUAAAAAUUUGUUAAUCACCAUAUACUCUCUCAAAAUAGUAUUACUUUCAUUAAAAAAAUAUAUUCAAUUUAACUCAAUCCUUAAUACCAAAAUUUGUAAUUUGUACAUUUAAAUUUAUAUAAAAUAUUCUAACUGUCACAUAAAUUCUAAAUUUUAGUCAUAUGUUCAAGAUAUCUAAAU